rnacentral:lncRNA from 1 species
GGCAGUAUUGUGUGGAGGUUUUGGUGGUUUGAAGGUGAUCAAUGAUGACAAUUCUGAACAUUUGUUGAAACUAUUUGACGGUUUGUGUCUUAUAGGCAACUGUUUAAUUAAGAUUUGGUGAUGGUGGUAGGAUCGAUUUGAGCCAAUUUGUUUAAUCGGUCUCGAUUGAAGUAAUGAAUUAUGGUGAAUAGUUUCUAUGAUUGUUGAUUAAGGCUGGGUCUUUGAUUGUGUUUGUUUCUCUUCUUGGAUAGUUGCUAAAAUUGGUGGGUAUGGGUAAUAUGGUGUGGUUUUGCUGAGUUGUGGAUGGCAGUGAGGUGAUGACAUGGUGUUCAAGGAAAGAUGGCAGAAUGGUAGUGAGGUGAUGAAGUGGUGCUCAUGCAAAAGUGGUAGAAUGGUAGUGGCGAAUGAAAAUUUGGAUGGUAGUGCCAAUGUGUUUGUACUUGGAUGGUUGCUUGACCCCUUUUUCUGCUUACUCUCUAUGUUUUCUGGUGAUUUCUCUAUUCUUUUUCCGUGUCCUUGGAAGUGAAUUGCAAG